UCACCUCUGCAGGCUUCCGGCCUCCAGGCUGGAUGGGCGAGUAGCUCUUCAAAAAGCUUAUCCUCAAGCACGACCAGGAGA
rnacentral:pre_miRNA from 1 species